GGCGAACCGUGCGAACGUUGUUCGGAAUCACUGGGCUUAAAGGGCGCGUAGGCGGGCUGUCAAGUCUGGGGUGAAAUGCUGCGGCUCAACCGUAGAACUGCCUUAGAUACUGACGGCCUCGAGGAAGGUAGGGGCAUGCGGAACUGUAGGUGGAGCGGUGAAAUGCGUUGAUAUCUACAGGAACUCCGGUGGCGAAAGCGGCGUGCUGGACCUUUUCUGACGCUGAGGCGCGAAAGCUAGGGGAGCAAACGGG
rnacentral:rRNA from 1 species